CCUCCCUCUGUUGCCCAGGAUGGACUGCAGUGGCGCAAUCUCGGCUCACUGCAACCUCCACCUCCUGGGUUCAAAUGAUUCUCCUGCCUCAGCCUCUUGAGUAGCUGGGAUUACAGGCAUGCGCCACCAUGCCUGGCUAGUUUUUUUUUGUUUCGUUUUUUUGUUUUUGUUUGUUUUUCUUUUUUUAGUAGAAACAGGGUUUCACCUUAUUGGCCAGGCUGGUCUCGAACUCCUGACCUCGUGAUCUCUCCACCUCAGCCUCCCAAAGUGCUGGGAUUACAGGCAUGGGCCACCACACCUGGCCUAAUUGGCUCACGUUUCUGCAGGCUGUGCAGGAAGCACAGUGGGCAUCUGCCUGGCUUCUGGGGAGGCCUCAGGAAAACUCAAUCAUGGCGGAAGGUGAAAGAGAAGCAUGGCCAGAGCAGGAGGGAGGGGUGUGGGAGGUACCACACACUUUUAAACAACCAGAUCUUGUGAGAAUUCUAUCACUAGAAGAGCACUAAAUGGGGGAAUCCACCCCCAUGAGCCAAUCACCUCCCACCAGGCCCCAACUCCAACACUGGGGAUUACAAUUUGACAUGAGAUUUGGGCAGGGACACAGACCCAAACCGUAUCACCCAGGAUUAAAGAAAGUUAUUUCAUACUGACAACACACACCUCAUAACAAAGCUUCAAAACACAUAAAGCAAGAACAACUAGAACUUCAAGGAGACAUAGAUCAACCCACUAUUAUCAGACGUUAAUACCCCACCCUCAAUAAUUGACAGAACAAGUAGGCAGAAAAUCAAUAAGAAUAAUAAAGUAGACUUCAGCAAUUUUAUCAAUCAACUUGACCCGAUUGACAUUUACAGGACAUUGCAUCUUACAAUAGCAGAAAAUUUUUCUUGAGAAAAUGGAGAAACAACUCAAUUUUGUUUCUUGAGAAAUAACUUGAGAAAAAUUUUUAGCUGUUCAAACAAAAAUCAUAGUACGGGAUUUAUAAUAUAUGUAAAAGUAAAGUGGGUUAAGAGUUUUUCGCAAGUACACAUGGAACAUUUAUAGAGAUGGACUACAUUAUAGACCAUUUAAAAAGUCUCAAAUUCAAAACAUUUGUCACAUAAAGUAUGUUGUCUGGCCACAACGGAAUUAAAUUAGAAAUCAAUAGCAGAAACUAGAAAAGAGAAAAACUCAAAGUAAGCAGAAGAAAAGGAAUAAUAAAGGUCAAAGUGGGACUUAAUGAAAUUUUUAAAAUAGAGAAAAAUGAAUGAAUCAAAAUUUGGGGAGUUUGGGGGGGAAAUUUUUUUAAAUUGAGAAAUCUCCAGCCAGGUACAUAUAUCAGGGAAAAAAGAAACAAGACACAAGUUACCAAUACUAGGAAUGAGAGAGGUGGCAUCACUGAAGAGCCUACAGAUAGAAAAGGAUAGUAAGGAAAUAUUAGGAACACCUUUAUAGCAAUAAAUUCAACAUAGAUGAAAUUGACAAAUCCUUUGAAAGGCACAAAUUACCAAAGCUCACCCAAGAAGAAGUAGAUGAUCUGAAUAGCCCUAUAUCUGUUAAAGAAGUUGAAAUUACAGUUUAAAAACAUGUAACGAAAAUCUAGGGCUAGGCGUGGUGGCUCGCACCUGUAUUCCCAGCAUGUUGGGAAGUUGAGGUGGGAGGAUCACUUGAAGCCAGGAGUUCAAGGACAGACUGGACAACAUAGCGAGAUUCCAAAAAAAAAAAAAAAAAAAUUAGCCAGGCAUGGUAGCACAUGCCUGUAGUCCUAGCUACUUGAGAGGCUGAGGCAGGAUGAUUGCUUGAGCCUAGGAAUUGAAGGCUGCGGUGAGCAAUGAUCACACCACUGCACUCCAGCCUGGCUGACAAAUCAAGGCCCUGACUCAAAGAAAGGGAGAGAAGGAGAGAGAGAGGAAGAAAUAUUUUCCACCUCAUUAUCUGAGGCCAGAAUUAUCCUAGUGCCAAAAUUAUCCUAGGACCCUGGCCAAACAAACAUGCUACCAGGAAAGAAAACUACAGAUCAACAUUUCUCAUGAACAUAGGGUAAAAUUCUAAGCCAGUUUAUCAAAUUGAGUCCUACAAGAUAAGAAACAGGUAAUAAAACAUGAUCAAGAGGGAAUAUCCAAGGAGUGUAGGGUUGACUUAACAUUUGAAAAAUCAAUCAAUAUAAUUCAUUGUAUAAACAAGCUAAAAAAGAAUAAUCAUAUAAUCAAUCAAUACAGAAAGGCAUUUGACAAAAUCCAGCAUUCAUUACUGAUAAUCAAGAAGGUUAGGAAUAAACAACACUUCUUCAAUCUGAUCAAGGGCAUCUACAAAAACCCUACAGCUAACAUCACACUUAAUUGUGAAAGACAAUAUUCCCCACCUUCCCAACGUCAGGAACAAAUCAGGGAUGCCUGCUUUUACCGCCUCUGUUCAACAUUGUACUGAAGGCUUUAGACUGUGCAAUCAGAGAACAAACAGAAAUAAUGGACAUCCAGGUUGGAAAGAAAGAAAGAAAAAUGUAUUCACAGAUGACAUGAUUAUUUAUGCAAAAUUCAGCGGACUCUACAAAUGAGCUACUAGAACAAAUAAGUGAGUUUGUCAAGGUUGCAGGAUACAGAGUAGUGUACAAAAAUCAGUUGUAUAUGGUAGCAAUGAAAAAUUGAUAAUUGAAACAAAAAAUCAACAUUUGCAAUCACAUAAACAAUACUACCUUUGCAAUAGCAUAAAUACCUGGGAUAAGUCUGACCAAAAAAAUGAGAAAAAUACUGUACACUGAAAACUACAAAAUACUGAUAUGAUAAAGAGACCUAAAUAGAUGAUAUACCUUGUUCAUGGGUCAGAAGACUCAAUAUUGUGAAGAUGUCAUGUCAUAUUCCCAAAAUAUAGAUUCAAUAUAGAUUUAAUACAAUCACAAUCAAAAUCCCAGCAGCCUAUGUGUGUGUGUGUGUGUGUGUAAAAUGACAAACUGAUUCUAAAAUGUUUGUAGAACUUCAAAGGACCUAGAGUAGCCAAACAACUUCACAAAAGAAGAACCAAGUUAGACGACUAAUAUUACUAGAUUUUUAAGGAGUUAUUCUAAAGCAACAGUAAUCAAGACAGUGUGGUAUUGACAUGAAGGAUAUACCAAUAGAUCAAUGAUAUAGGAUUUGUGUCCAGAAUGUAAAGUACUUUCAAAACUCAGCAAUAAGAAAACAAACAAACCAAAUGGAAAAUGAAGGAAAGACAUCAACAGACAUUUUACCAAAGAGUCCACUUAAACUGCAAAUAAAUGAGUGAAAAGAUGUUCUAACAUCAUUAACCAUUAGGAAAAAGGCAACUUAAAAUCAUGAUAUCACUAACUCCUAUUAGAAUGGUUACAAAGGCAAAUUAAAAUCAUGAUAUCACUAACUCCUAUUAGAAUGGUAAAAGAUAGUGAUAACAUCAAAUUCUGACAACUAUGCUGAAAAACUUUAUCUCCCGUAUAUUACUGGCAGUAAUGUAUAAUUUCACAGCCAUUCAGAAAAAUACCUCCCAGUUUACUUAUAAAAGAAAACAUGAAAUUACCAUAUGAUCCAGUAAUUUCACUCUUGGGCAUUUAUCCUGGGAAAUGAACUUAUGUUCACACAAAAACCCAUACUCAAAUGUUCAUAGCAGCUUUAUGUGUAAUGAGCAAGACCUAGGAAAAAAACAAAUGUCCUUCAGUGCGUGAAUGGUUAAGCAAAUUGUGAUCCAUGAAAUACUGCUUAACAAUAAAAAGGAGCAAGUUAUUAACACACCCAAUAACUUGGAAGGAUCUCAAGGGAAUUAUAUGGAGUGAAAAAAAACCCAGACCAAAAAGUUACUAUUGUAUGAUUCCAUUUAUAUAACAUCCUUGAAAUGAAAAAAUUGUAGAAAUGGAGACCAGAUUAGUGGUUGCCUG
rnacentral:lncRNA from 1 species